AUCGGCGGGGCGAGCAUGACGGAGCAACGCCGCGUGAGGGAGGAAUGUCUGUGGAUUGUAAACCUCUUUUCUCUGGGAAGAAGAUCUGACGGUACCAGAGGAAUCAGCAUCGGCUAACUCCGUGCCAGCAGCCGCGGUAAGACGGAGGAUGCAAGCGUUAUCCGGAAUUAUUGGGCGUAAAGCGUCCGUAGGCGGUUAAUUAAGUCAGUUGUUAAAGACUGCAGCUCAACUGUGGGAGAGCAACUGAAACUGGUUGACUAGAGUAUGGUAGGGGUAGAGGGAAUUCCUAGUGUAGCGGUGAAAUGCGUAGAUAUUAGGAAGAACACCAGUGGCGAAGGCGCUCUGCUGGGCCAUAACUGACGCUGAUGGACGAAAGCUAGGGGAGCGAAAGGGAUUAGAUACCCCCUGUAGUCA
rnacentral:rRNA from 1 species